rnacentral:rRNA from 1 species
CAGCCGCCGCGGUAAUACGUAGGUCCCGAGCGUUGUCCGGAUUUAUUGGGCGUAAAGCGAGCGCAGGCGGUUAGAAAAGUCUGAAGUGAAAGGCAGUGGCUCAACCAUUGUAGGCUUUGGAAACUGUUUAACUUGAGUGCAGAAGGGGAGAGUGGAAUUCCAUGCGUAGCGGUGAAAUGCGUAGAUAUAUGGAGGAACACCGGUGGCGAAAGCGGCUCUCCGGUCUGUAACUGACGCUGAGGCUCGAAAGCGUGGGGAGCGAACAGGAUUAGAUACCCGGGUAGUCCCUGUCUCUUAUACA